UACGAAGGGGGCUAGCGUUGCUCGGAAUUACUGGGCGUAAAGCGUGCGCAGGCGGUUGUGCAAGACAGAUGUGAAAUCCCCGGGCUUAACCUGGGAACUGCAUUUGUGACUGCACGGCUGGAGUGCGGCAGAGGGGGAUGGAAUUCCGCGUGUAGCAGUGAAAUGCGUAGAUAUGCGGAGGAACACCGAUGGCGAAGGCAAUCCCCUGGGCCUGCACUGACGCUCAUGCACGAAAGCGUGGGGAGCAAACAGG
rnacentral:rRNA from 1 species